GGACCGUAUGAGUAUACGCGUAUGGUCCAGUACGAGCUGACCAUACAUGUUAUUAGAUCAUAUGGGUUAAAUUUUAAAAAAUUAACAUUAAUCACAAUUUUUUUUUCAGAUUUACUAAUUUAAUAUUAUUACAAUUACACGGAUAAAAUGAACAAAUGAACAAUUGAAAUUAAAUAUUUGUUUAAUUGUAUAUCUUGAUCCUACUUUUGGUACUCUCAACCAAUGUUACACUGGCUACCACAAGUAACGUACUAAUAUUUUUUACAUUUACAUUUUUGCAGUUCGUGUAUGUUCCUUAGCAAAAAUAUUUUUUGGUAAAGUUGCUAAAUAUUCUAAAACAAUUGUCCUCCCACAUUAUAUUUACUUC
rnacentral:lncRNA from 1 species